UGGGGAGUACGUUUGCAAGAAUGAAACUCAAAGGAAUUGACGGGGGCCCGCACAAGCGGUGAAGCAUGUGGUUUAAUUUAAUGUAAAGCGAAGAACCUUACUAGGGCUUAACAUGCCGCGAAUCCUCUUGAAAGAAAGGGGUGCCU
rnacentral:ncRNA from 1 species